CCUACGGGUGGCAGCAGUGAGGAAUAUUGGUCAAUGGGCGCGAGCCUGAACCAGCCAAGUAGCGUGAAGGAUGACUGCCCUACGGGUUGUAAACUUCUUUUAUAAAGGAAUAAAGUGAGGCACGUGUGCCUUUUUGUAUGUACUUUAUGAAUAAGGAUCGGCUAACUCCGGGCCAGCAGCCGCGGUAAUACGGAGGAUCCGAGCGUUAUCCGGAUUUAUUGGGGUUAAAGGGAGCGGAGAUGGGUUGUUAAGUCAGUGGGGAAAGUUUGCGGCUCAACCGUCAAAUUGCAAUUGAUACUGGCCGCCUUGAGUGCAGGUGAGGUAGGCGGAAUGCGUGGUGUAGCGGUGAAAUGCUUAGAUAUCACGAAGAACUCCGAUUGCGAAGGCAGCCUACUAAACUGCCACUGACAUUGAUGCUCGAAAGUGUGGGUAUCAAACAGGAUUAGAUACCCUGGUAGUC
rnacentral:rRNA from 1 species